rnacentral:rRNA from 1 species
ACGAACGCUGGCGGCGUGCUUAACACAUGCAAGUCGAACGGAAAGGCCCUGCUUUUGUGGGGUGCUCGAGUGGCGAACGGGUGAGUAACACGUGAGUAACCUGCCCUUGACUUUGGGAUAACUUCAGGAAACUGGGGCUAAUACCGGAUAGGAGCUCCUGCUGCAUGGCGGGGGUUGGAAAGUUUCGGCGGUUGGGGAUGGACUCGCGGCUUAUCAGCUUGUUGGUGGGGUAGUGGCUUACCAAGGCUUUGACGGGUAGCCGGCCUGAGAGGGUGACCGGCCACAUUGGGACUGAGAUACGGCCCAGACUCCUACGGGAGGCAGCAGUGGGGAAUAUUGCACAAUGGGCGGAAGCCUGAUGCAGCAACGCCGCGUGCGGGAUGACGGCCUUCGGGUUGUAAACCGCUUUCGCCUGUGACGAAGCGUGAGUGACGGUAAUGGGUAAAGAAGCACCGGCUAACUACGUG